rfam:Myotis brandtii contig237079, whole genome shotgun sequence.
GCCAGUGGUUCUCAAUGGUCAGAGUAUCAGUCUGAGCACUGAAGAGUGUGGGUUCGAUUCCAGUUAAGGGCA